rnacentral:rRNA from 1 species
GUCUACGGCCAUGCCACCCUGAACAAGCCCAAUCCCGUCUUCUGAUCUCGGAAGCUAAGCAGGGUCGGGCCUGGUUAGUACUUGGAAGGGAGACCACCUAGGAAGACCGGGUGCUGUAGGCA